rnacentral:rRNA from 3 species
UACGGAGGGUGCAAGCGUUAUCCGGAUUCACUGGGUUUAAAGGGUGCGUAGGUGGGCUUGUAAGUCAGUGGUGAAAUCUCCGGGCUUAACCCGGAAACUGCCAUUGAUACUAUAGGUCUUGAAUUAUCUGGAGGUCAGCGGAAUAUGUCAUGUAGCGGUGAAAUGCUUAGAUAUGACAUAGAACACCAAUUGCGAAGGCAGCUGGCUACAGGUUGAUUGACACUGAGGCACGAAAGCGUGGGGAUCAAACAGG